AGAGACAGGUGAUACAUACAGCGGUCGGAGUCCGGCGACAAAGAGCCUGGCUCUUCCUCCUCUUCGCCCCGUCCCCCCCAAACAUCUCCCACCUCCUCAGGUGGCAGUUCGAGGCUCGGCCCACACGUUGUCUGUUGCACCUUUGACCCUGUCGACCCUUCUGCUCCUGCUGCUGUCACCAUGGGAACACCGCUGAUGUCAGAGGGACUGUCUGACAGAGACAAAAAGACUGAAAGACAAGCACACGUGUUUGGUGGUGAAGAUGAGUAUUUGGAGUUUCUGUAAGCAGGAAGCACUCUGAAUGUUUUGUUAUGUGGCAGGUGCACAGUAUGCAGUUUAAUGUUACCUGUACUGACCUCUACAUGUGUUUGUUUAUGUGUAUUUAACUUUGAUAGGAUAGAUUGCACACCACUACUGACUUUUUUUGAAGAGAGAUGUAAAUACAAAUAAAUAUAUAUUAUAUAUUUAUAUAAAGGAUUUCUAUAGAUAACGAUGGCUCUAUGUGUAAAUAGAGAUUAAUAUAGAACAGAAGUGAUUUACUUGGAUGUAAUGGGGUGUUUUGUUUAGUCUGACAUUUACAUUAUGUAGCCCCCAGGGACACUUAGAUCUAUGACAGCUAUGGUUCAAGUUGAGGCCUCCACUGUGGCAGCAAGGUGCUUACAGUGAAGACUGACGCAUUACACGAGUACUCAGCACUCCAUGAGCAAAACAACCAAUUAUGUGACGCUUCAGACCAUUGACAGAUGGCCAUGAGCAUAAUGAAGAAGUUGACAGUUUGGCUUGUACGUCUCUGCAGACUGAAGCCCAUCCGGCACUGUUUUCUUUCACACCAACAUGCUCUAUUGUUCAUGCAAGCUGGGCAAGUAUGCUGCAGAGUUGAACUGUUUAACACAAUUGUAUUUCCUCCACAAAUGACUUUUUAAUGAUUUCUCCCAGGAAACUGUGUCCUUAGGUAGUUUAUCGUGAAUAAACAGAUAAUACCUUUUAUUGUCUUGCGUGCGUAAACUGAGUUAAGGCUAUGUUCUUCUCAAGAUGCAUAGUCUGCAAAAUGGUAAAUGCACUACAGGGAGGCAUAUAAAAGCUUAUAUUUCAACUUUAAAUCAACUUUUAGGCCGUCACAGUCUUUAGGAGCUCUCCUAAAUAUGGAAGUUAUCUAAACAAAACCAUAAAACAAUGAAAUAGAAUGUAUGGCCUUCAUUUAAGAUCAAGAAGACACAAACCUUAGUCUAAAAAAUGAAUAUUUUGACAUCUUGUUUUCACGUACAAAGACUCCUGUCCUGUUGAUUUCAAAUACAGCUUGUCUCCAAAUGUAUUAAUGACUACUGUAAUAGUUAUAGAGUAUUUAGGGCACCCAACAACAUACUAUAUAUGUUGGUUUAUUUCUCAGUCUGACACAUGUUAACAGUCUGUCUCUGUAUCCAGCGGAGACGAGAGAUAAGAGUAUCAAGUAAGUUAUCAAAAUAUAGCUCAGCUGAGAUCAAAAUGAUGUAUGUAAUUCAUGGUAAUUAGGACCAUCAAGUCCUCCCGGCUCUCUGUUGAGUUUCAAACUGCACACAACAUCAGGACAGACAAUUGAAAAUACUGAAAAUACUGAUUAAAAUUUUUGAAAUGGAGCAAAUAAACCAGCAGGAACACACUGUGUGCCAGCUUGUGAAUAACUUUUACAUUCAAUAUUUUCCCGUGUAGUCUUAAGAAACAGGCGUAAAUGUGUCUACCGUCAUCACCUUUCUCAUGAAGGAAUUUGCCCGACAGUUGAGACGACUAAAGAAAUAACAUCAAGAGCCUACAUGCAUGACUUAUCUGGGCACUGAGCCCAAACACCAUGUAAGUUAGCGGGAUGCUUUUACACCAUAAAGUGUGCCAUUAUUUGAUUACUAUUUAAACAUUGUAACCCAAAUUAGAUUUAGGAGAUGAGAUUUUGGAUGUGAGCCAACCACUUCACCUUUGACAGCUCUUGCUAUACAAUACAUCCUACAUAAACUAAACACCAACACACACACACCAAUGCACAUACAGAUAAGUUCAUUUGAAAUGCUUUUCACAGCCUGGUAUAAGACAAGAGUGGGAUAUGACUGAAAUGUUGGGCUUUCAAAAAGGGUAUUCAUAUGCUUAUACAUUUAGCAAAACGAGAAAUAAUGAGCAUUUACAUCUUGAAAUGAAAUCACCUGGAAAGUGAAGCUGAAAAUUAUAAUUUGUUGUUUCAAUUUGUUCCUAUGUGGCUACAAACUGUGAAUCGCAAGUUGAAUUGUUGAGAAAACUGUCAUGAAUACAAAUGAAAGAAAGUGUGAAUCUUGUUAGUGUAUAUUUGUAAAUGAGACUGAGCGAUCUUUUUCAUAUCAAGCAUAGAAGUGACUUUCUGUUGUUCCUCUUGUACUGUGUUGUUAUAAUGGUUGCCAUAUGUCAUGGAAGGAACUUUAAUGUGUCACAGCAAUUAUUUGUUGGUACUUUUUCAAGGUUCAACAUCUCGUUUGGGUAGAAUUCUAAUGUUGUUGUGUAUAGGAUUACCAUGAUGCAAUAACAAGUUACAGUUGCUAUAGUAGUAUGGUUUAUCUCCCCCUAAAAACUAAAUCAGUGACUCCUGUGUGAUAAGUGAAUAGACAUUCUGUAAUACACUGUGUCCUUCUAUUCUUUUUUGUCAAUAAUAUCUUCAGCCUAAUAUCCUAAUAAUAAACCGUUUUCAAAUGCA